CCUAUACUAUUCAGUUCAGACGUCUCCACUACUUCAUAAGCACUUUGAAAACUAUUUUUGUCUGUUUUGAUAUUUAGCUGAGAUACAUACAUUUAAGGCUGGUGUUGGCACACGUGUCAGUGAGCAGUCCUCCAGAUGAGGCCCAGCAAUAGAGUGACUUGUUCCACCAGAAGGCUCAUGGGACCUGAGGCGGAUUAUUAUGGUAUAGGUGUGCAAUGCAAUGCUGGACUAAUAGAUGUACAAAAUUACCAUCAACCACAAGGAGACUGAUUAUUCAAUUGGAGUCUAUCCGCUGGUGGAUCCUGGAUACACUGCUAA